CGUAGGCACCAAGCGUUGUCCGGAUUUAUUGGGCGUAAAGCGUGCGCAGGCGGUUUGCUAAGACAGGUGUGAAAUCCCCGGGCUUAACCUGGGAACUGCGCUUGUGACUGGCAGGCUAGAGUACGGCAGAGGGGGGUGGAAUUCCUGGUGUAGCAGUGAAAUGCGUAGAUAUCAGGAGGAACACCGAUGGCGAAGGCAGCCCCCUGGGCCUGUACUGACGCUCAUGCACGAAAGCGUGGGGAGCAAACAGGAUUAGA
rnacentral:rRNA from 1 species